UGGAUUUAUCCCCUGGUGGACGGAC
rnacentral:piRNA from 1 species